AAGGGCUUAGCUUAAUUAAAGUGAUUGAUUUGCGUUCAGUUGAUGUGGGGUAUAGGCCCGCAGUCCUUA
rnacentral:tRNA from 1 species